rnacentral:rRNA from 1 species
AGUGAACGCUGGCGGUAGGCCUAACACAUGCAAGUCGAACGGCAGCACAGUAAGAGCUUGCUCUUACGGGUGGCGAGUGGCGGACGGGUGAGGAAUACAUCGGAAUCUACUUUUUCGUGGGGGAUAACGUAGGGAAACUUACGCUAAUACCGCAUACGACCUACGGUUGAAAGCAGGGGAUCUUCGGACCUUGCGCGAUUGAAUGCGCCGAUGUCGGAUUAGCUAGUUGGCGGGGUAAAGGCCCACCAAGGCGCCGAUCCGUAGCUGGUCUGAGAGGAUGAUCAGCCACACUGGAACUGAGACACGGUCAAGACUCCUACGGGAGGCAGCAGUGGGGAAUAUUGGACAAUGGGCGCAAGCCUGAUCCAGCCAUACCGCGUGGGUGAAGAAGGCCUUCGGGUUGUAAAGCCCUUUUGUUGGGAAAGAAAAGCAGCAGGUUAAUACCCCGCUGUUCUGACGGUACCCAAAGAAUAAGCACCGGCUAACUUCGUG